rnacentral:rRNA from 1 species
AGAGUUUGAUCCUGGCUCAGGACGAACGCUGGCGGCGUGCCUAAUACAUGCAAGUCGAACGAAGCUUUCUUUCACCGAAUGCUUGCAUUCACCGAAAGAAGCUUAGUGGCGAACGGGUGAGUAACACGUAGGCAACCUGCCCAAAAGAGGGGGAUAACACUUGGAAACAGGUGCUAAUACCGCAUAACCAUGAACACCGCAUGAUGUUCAUGUAAAAGACGGCUUUUGCUGUCACUUUUGGAUGGGCCUGCGGCGUAUUAACUUGUUGGUGGGGUAACGGCCUACCAAGGUGAUGAUACGUAGCCGAACUGAGAGGUUGAUCGGCCACAUUGGGACUGAGACACGGCCCAAACUCCUACGGGAGGCAGCAGUAGGGAAUCUUCCACAAUGGACGAAAGUCUGAUGGAGCAACGCCGCGUGAAUGAAGAAGGCCUUCGGGUCGUAAAAUUCUGUUGUCAGAGAAGAACGUGCGUGAGAGUAACUGUUCACGUAUUGACGGUAUCUGACCAGAAAGCCACGGCUAACUACGUGCCAGCAGCCGCGGUAAUACGUAGGUGGCAAGCGUUGUCCGGAUUUAUUGGGCGUAAAGGGAACGCAGGCGGUCUUUUAAGUCUGAUGUGAAAGCCUUCGGCUUAACCGAAGUAGUGCAUUGGAAACUGGAAGACUUGAGUGCAGAAGAGGAGAGUGGAACUCCAUGUGUAGCGGUGAAAUGCGUAGAUAUAUGGAAGAACACCAGUGGCGAAAGCGGCUCUCUGGUCUGUAACUGACGCUGAGGUUCGAAAGCGUGGGUAGCAAACAGGAUUAGAUACCCUGGUAGUCCACGCCGUAAACGAUGAGUGCUAAGUGUUGGAGGGUUUCCGCCCUUCAGUGCUGCAGCUAACGCAUUAAGCACUCCGCCUGGGGAGUACGGUCGCAAGACUGAAACUCAAAGGAAUUGACGGGGGCCCGCACAAGCGGUGGAGCAUGUGGUUUAAUUCGAAGCAACGCGAAGAACCUUACCAGGUCUUGACAUCUUCUGACAAUUCCAGAGAUGGAACGUUCCCUUCGGGGACAGAAUGACAGGUGGUGCAUGGUUGUCGUCAGCUCGUGUCGUGAGAU